CUGAGUGGAUACUGGUAGAGGCUAGACACUUACGUGGCUACAUCAGAACCUCAGGCAGUGCUGCGAUCAUCUACAGUGUAAUUAAAUUACCCUUGAGGUAUGUCUAUGUUUCUCAUACUUAUAGAUUUAAUUUUGAAAUUAAAAUAUCAGAUAAUAAAAUUAGAUCUAAUAGACAUCAGACCUGAAAUAGCAUAGGAUAAAAUUUAAAAUUUAUUCCGCCCC
rnacentral:lncRNA from 1 species